AGACCCGAAACCCGGUGAUCUAGCCAUGGGCAGGUUGAAGGUUGGGUAACACUAACUGGAGGACCGAACCGACUAAUGUUGAAAAAUUAGCGGAUGACCUGUGGCUGGGGGUGAAAGGCCAAUCAAACCGGGAGAUAGCUGGUUCUCCCCGAAAGCUAUUUAGGUAGCGCCUCGUGAAUUCAUCUCCGGGGGUAGAGCACUGUUUCGGCUAGGGGGCCAUCCCGGCUUACCAACCCGAUGCAAACUGCGAAUACCGGAGAAUGUUAUCACGGGAGACACACGGCGGGUGCUAACGUCCGUCGUGAAGAGGGAAACAACCCAGACCGCCAGCUAAGGUCCCAAAGUCAUGGUUAAGUGGGAAACGAUGUGGGAAGGCCCAGACAGCCAGGAUGUUGGCUUAGAAGCAGCCAUCAUUUAAAGAAAGCGUAAUAGCUCACUGGUCGAGUCGGCCUGCGCGGAAGAUGUAACGGGGCUAAACCAUGCACCGAAGCUGCGGCAGCGAACGUAUCACCCAAGACAACUUUACGGAGUUGACGAUUGACGGAGCGAAGCGACGUCAAAGCGUUCAUUAAAGUCGAGUUGGCUUAGGGAUACGUUCGUUGGGUAGGGGAGCGUUCUGUAAGCCUGUGAAGGUGGCCUGUGAGGGUUGCUGGAGGUAUCAGAAGUGCGAAUGCUGACAUAAGUAACGAUAAAGCGGGUGAAAAGCCCGCUCGCCGGAAGACCAAGGGUUCCUGUCCAACGUUAAUCGGGGCAGGGUGAGUCGACCCCUAAGGCGAGGCCGAAAGGCGUAGUCGAUGGGAAACGGGUUAAUAUUCCCGUACUUGGUGUUACUGCGAAGGGGGGACGGAGAAGGCUAUGUUGGCCGGGCGACGGUUGUCCCGGUUUAAGCGUGUAGGCUGGUUUUCCAGGCAAAUCCGGAAAAUCAAGGCUGAGGCGUGACGACGAGGCACUACGGUGCUGAAGCAACAAAUGCCCUGCUUCCAGGAAAAGCCUCUAAGCAUCAGGUAACAUCAAAUCGUACCCCAAACCGACACAGGUGGUCAGGUAGAGAAUACCAAGGCGCUUGAGAGAACUCGGGUGAAGGAACUAGGCAAAAUGGUGCCGUAACUUCGGGAGAAGGCACGCUGACACGUAGGUGAAGUGAUUUACUCAUGGAGCUGAAGUCAGUCGAAGAUACCAGCUGGCUGCAACUGUUUAUUAAAAACACAGCACUGUGCAAACACGAAAGUGGACGUAUACGGUGUGACGCCUGCCCGGUGCCGGAAGGUUAAUUGAUGGGGUCAGCGCAAGCGAAGCUCCUGAUCGAAGCCCCGGUAAACGGCGGCCGUAACUAUAACGGUCCUAAGGUAGCGAAAUUCCUUGUCGGGUAAGUUCCGACCUGCACGAAUGGCGUAAUGAUGGCCAGGCUGUCUCCACCCGAGACUCAGUGAAAUUGAACUCGCUGUGAAGAUGCAGUGUACCCGCGGCAAGACGGAAAGACCCCGUGAACCUUUACUAUAGCUUGACACUGAACAUUGAGCCUUGAUGUGUAG
rnacentral:rRNA from 1 species